AGAAAGAUCAGAAGGUACACGGGC
rnacentral:miRNA from 1 species